rnacentral:lncRNA from 1 species
UGGAAGGAGGAAGUGGGCAGGGCUGUGAAGUUGUCUUGGGGAGCAGGGGCCCUGCAUUCUCCUUUCUGCUCUGUGGCUGACAUGGUCUGUGAAAGUUGAAGGGAGCCACAGCAUGAGACAUUCCCUCCCAGAGCCUUGUUUCCUCAUCUGUCAAGUGGGCUGAAGGUGGCCUCUGCCCCACAGGGCUGAUUCUACUGCAUCCCCAAGGGUCAGGCAAUUGGCCUAUCAGAGGGGUUGGUGGCUGCCAUUCUGGGAGCACCCCUUGGACACUGUGUGCAGUGCUAGCUUGUUCCUUUCUAUCCAUUGCUCUCUUUUUAAUCCUCUUAACAGCUCCUCACAGUAGGAAUUGUCCCCUUGUUUAGGCAGGAACCCAUGCUCAGAGAGGUUGUGACUUGUCACAGGUCACACUGCUGAAGGCUCCUGUGUGGGAAUCCACUUCAUUGAUUGAG